UACGUAGGGGGCAAGCGUUGUCCGGAAUUAUUGGGCGUAAAGAGCGCGUAGGCGGUCCGAUAAGUCGGCUGUGAAAGUCAGGGGCUCAACCCUUGGAAGCCGGCCGAUACUGUCGGACUAGAGUCCGGAAGAGGCGAGUGGAAUUCCCGGUGUAGCGGUGAAAUGCGCAGAUAUCGGGAGGAACACCAAUGGCGAAGGCAGCUUGCUGGGACGACACUGACGCUAAGGCGCGAAAGCGUGGGGAGCGAACAGG
rnacentral:rRNA from 1 species